GACGAACGCUGACGGUGUGCUUUAGACAUGCAAGUCGAACGAGAAAGCCCUUCGGGUUAGUAAAGUGGCGAACGGGUGAGUAACACGUGGGCAAUCUGCCCCUCGCAGGGGGACAACCGGAGGAAACUCCGGCUAAUACCCCGUAAGUUCAAAGGGAGGCAUCUCUCUUCGAAGAAAGGUAGCUUCGGCCAUCCGGCGAGGGAUGAGCCCGCGGUGCAUUAGCUAGUUGGUGGGGUAACGCCUACCAAGGCGACGAUGCAUAGCUGGUCUGAGAGGAUGAUCAGCCACACUGGGACUGAGACACGGCCCAGACUCCUACGGGAGGCAGCAGUCGGGAAUCUUGCGCAAUGGGCGAAAG
rnacentral:rRNA from 1 species